AACAAACGCUGGCGGCGUGCCUAACACAUGCAAGUCGUACGAGAAAGUCCGCUUCGGUGGAUGAGUAAAGUGGCGCACGGGUGAGUAACGCGUGGAUAAUCUGCCCUUCAGCGGGGAAUAACGCAUCGAAAGGUGCGCUAAUACCACAUAAUGCUAUUUCUACUUCGGUGGAAUAGCCAAAGAUGGCCUCUGCUUGCAAGCUGUCGCUGAAGGAUGAGUCCGCGUACCAUUAGCUGGUUGGUAGGGUAAUGGCCUACCAAGGCUACGAUGGUUAGCUGGUCUGAGAGGAUGAUCAGCCACACUGGAACUGAGACACGGUCCAGACUCCUACGGGAGGCUG
rnacentral:rRNA from 1 species